UGGGGAAUUUUGGACAAUGGGCGAAAGCCUGAUCCAGCAAUGCCGCGUGUGUGAAGAAGGCCUUCGGGUUGUAAAGCACUUUUGUCCGGAAAGAAAUCCUUGGCUCUAAUACAGUCGGGGGAUGACGGUACCGGAAGAAUAAGCACCGGCUAACUACGUGCCAGCAGCCGCGGUAAUACGUAGGGUGCAAGCGUUAAUCGGAAUUACUGGGCGUAAAGCGUGCGCAGGCGGUUUGCUAAGACCGAUGUGAAAUCCCCGGGCUCAACCUGGGAACUGCAUUGGUGACUGGCAGGCUAGAGUAUGGCAGAGGGGGGUAGAAUUCCACGUGUAGCAGUGAAAUGCGUAGAGAUGUGGAGGAAUACCGAUGGCGAAGGCAGCCCCCUGGGCCAAUACUGACGCUCAUGCACGAAAGCGUGGGGAGCAAACAGGAUUAGAUACCCUGGUAGUCCACGCCCUAAACGAUGUCAACUAGUUGUUGGGGAUUCAUUUCCUUAGUAACGUAGCUAACGCGUGAAGUUGACCGCCUGGGGAAGUACGGUCGCAAGAUUAAAACUCAAAUGAAUUGACGGGG
rnacentral:rRNA from 1 species